rnacentral:lncRNA from 1 species
AUGCAAAACCGUCUUCUCAGAUCAUCUAUGUGGACAAAGCUGAGAGUUCAGGAAAGAACUAAAGAAAAGGAGCAGCCAAGACUCCCCAGGGGGCCCUGGAACCCCUACCUGACCCCAGUAGAGGUUCUACGAGAUGGAAACUGCUUUGGUCAUUGGUGGAUCUUAAAAUUGGUGUAUCUCUUAAGAGGUCUCACAGCCUGGGACUAAAUGACAUGUUUCAGUAAUCUCUUCCCAAAGGAACUUAUUCCAAAGCAACAAAAUUUCCUUGCAUGGGUGAGUCUAUUCCUGCAGCAGUGUAAAGCUCUGAGCCCUAGCUCUGUGAAAUGGAAGAUUAGACAUCACCACGGUCUACAAGGCUUGGAAAUAUUGCAGGACAUUUGGUAAGUGAAAAAACAGUCUUGGGAACAUCUUCAGCAUACCGGGAGAGUUCCAACACAUUUCACAAGAGGAAAAGUCAUGUAAAGGAAGAGUAAUUUCAGUCUCCUCUGUUGAUUACCCCUCCCAGAGCUCUCCCUGCCCUCCCUCCAAAGGGGUUAGCAAGGGCAGCUGGUUGCAAGGCUGCAGCUGUUCUUAACUGUUGAUUUUAGCUUUGCAGUGGUCCCUUGUGGGAUAGGAUGCCAUAUCUGCCCCCUGGAAUGGACUUACAGGUGUUUGAGAAAUGUUUUCUUUCCUACGGGUUACUUGACACUCUAACAGACGGGCUAUUAUGAUAUACUUACUGGCUGAUGUAAGGAGACAGGGGCUUAAAUAGCCCCUAUCUUCUUCUUCCCCCCUUCCUCUCACAUACAGACCUGCCGAAAAAAAGAUCUGAUUUCUCUGCAUUUCCCAGUCAUUCUCCUCUCCGUGCUCCCUGCAAAUGGGCAGGAUACAUUAACAGCAAAAGAGAACAUCAAGUGUAAGCUCUUUACGAACUUGCUCAAAGCAGGCCCAGACUGAAAUCGGUUCCAAAUUGAUAUGCCAUGUUUAAGAAAAUGAGUAUAU